rnacentral:rRNA from 1 species
CCCUUCCGUAGGGUGAACCUGCGGAAGGAUCAUUACCGAGUUUUCGGGCUUCGGCUCGACUCUCCCACCCUUUGUGAACGUACUUCUGUUGCUUUGGCGGCUCCGGCCGCCAAAGGACCUCCAAACUCCAGUCAAGUAAACGCAGACGUCUGAUAAACAAGUUAAUAAACUAAAACUUUCAACAACGGAUCUCUUGGUUCUGGCAUCGAUGAAGAACGCAGCGAAAUGCGAUAAGUAAUGUGAAUUGCAGAAUUCAAGUGAAUCAUCGAAUCUUUGAACGCACAUUGCGCCCCUUGGUAUUCCGGGGGGCAUGCCUGUUCGAGCGUCAAUUACAACCCUCAAGCUCUGCUUGGAAUUGGGCACCGUCCUCACUGCGGACGCGCCUCAAAGACCUCGGCGGUGGCUGUUCAGCCCCUCAAGCGUAGUAGAAUACACCUCGCUUUGGAGUGGUUGGCGUCGCCCGCCGGACGAACCUUCUGAACUUUUCUCAAGGUUGACCUCCGGAUCAGGUAUGAAUAACCUCGGUUAAAAGGUUUAAAGGG